AGUUCAUCGCACCGGCAGAACGACAAAUCCAAUCUCCGAUCAAAGACACCUUUUGUGAUUGUGCAGUCGUCCCAUGCGAGGUUACAAUGAAAAUCCAGCAAAUGUGUCGUGCCCUCGUUGAGAUGAAAGAAAUCCAGCCGAAGUAAAAGCAACAAUGAAUGAAGACGGUGAAGGUGAACCAAUCAAAAACCGGGGGGCUGCAGGUGAAAAUGCCGACGAUGCAAAACCAGAGAAUGCAAUGUCACCUAGCAGACAAACAGCCUCAGUGACCUCUGACAACGCAGAGGUGGAGGGAAACAAUCAAAACAUCGUGG